GACGAACGCUGGCGGCGUGCUUAACACAUGCAAGUCGAACGAAGUGGCGAACGGGUGAGUAACGCGUAAUCAACCUGCCCUUCAGAGGGGGACACCAGUUGGAAACGACUGCUAAUACCGCAUACUGAAGGAGGGGAUUGCGUCUGAUUAGCUAGUUGGGGGGGUAACGGCCCACCAAGGCGAUGAUAGGUAGCCGGUCGUGUGGGAUGAACCGCCAACUUGGGACUGGGACAAGGCCCAGACCCCGACGGGAGGCAGCAGGUGGGAAUCUUUCGCAAUGGACGAAAGGCGGACUGAGCAACGCCGCGGGAGUGAUGACGGGCCUCGGGGUGUAAAGCUCUGUUAAUCGGGACGCGGUACCGGAAUAGAAAGCCACGGCUAACUACGUGCCAGCAGCCGCGGUAAUUC
rnacentral:rRNA from 1 species